UUGACCUCGAAUCAGGUAGGAAUACCCGCUGAACUUAAGCAUAUCAAUAAGCGGAGGAAAAGAAACCAACCGGGAUUACCUCAUAGGGCGCAAAA
rnacentral:rRNA from 1 species